GGGGUGAUAGCUCAGCUGGUUAGAGCGUCUGCCUGUCACGCAGAAGGUCGCGGGUUCGAGUCCCGUUCAUCCCG
rnacentral:tRNA from 1 species